UGGGGAAUUUUGGACAAUGGGGGAAACCCUGAUCCAGCCAUCCCGCGUGUGCGAUGAAGGCCUUCGGGUUGUAAAGCACUUUUGGCAGGAAAGAAACGUCAUGGGUUAAUACCCCGUGAAACUGACGGUACCUGCAGAAUAAGCACCGGCUAACUACGUGCCAGCAGCCGCGGUAAUACGUAGGGUGCAAGCGUUAAUCGGAAUUACUGGGCGUAAAGCGUGCGCAGGCGGUUCGGAAAGAAAGAUGUGAAAUCCCAGAGCUCAACUUUGGAACUGCAUUUUUAACUACCGGGCUAGAGUGUGUCAGAGGGAGGUGGAAUUCCGCGUGUGGCAGUGAAAUGCGUAGAUAUGCGGAGGAACACCGAUGGCGAAGGCAGCCUCCUGGGAUAACACUGACGCUCAUGAACGAAAGCGUGGGGAGCAAACAGG
rnacentral:rRNA from 1 species